rnacentral:rRNA from 1 species
GACGAACGCUGGCGGCGUGCUUAACACAUGCAAGUCGAACGGAAAGGCCCUGCUUUUGUGGGGUGCUCGAGUGGCGAACGGGUGAGUAACACGUGAGUAACCUGCCCUUGACUUUGGGAUAACUUCAGGAAACUGGGGCUAAUACCGGAUAGGAGCUCCUGCUGCAUGGUGGGGGUUGGAAAGUUUCGGCGGUUGGGGAUGGACUCGCGGCUUAUCAGCUUGUUGGUGGGGUAGUGGCUUACCAAGGCUUUGACGGGUAGCCGGCCUGAGAGGGUGACCGGCCACAUUGGGACUGAGAUACGGCCCAGACUCCUACGGGAGGCAGCAGUGGGGAAUAUUGCACAAUGGGCGGAAGCCUGAUGCAACAACGCCGUGUGCGGGAUGACGGCCUUCGGGUUGUAAACCGCUUUCGCCUGUGACGAAUCGUGAGUGACGGGAAUGGGUAAAGAAGCACCGGCUAACUACGUGCCAUCAGCCGCGGUGAUACGUAGGGUGCGAGCGUUGUCCGGAUUUAUUGGGCGUAAAGGGCUCGUAGGUGGUUGAUCGCGUCGGAAGUGUAAUCUUGGGGCUUAACCCUGAGCGUGCUUUCGAUACGGGUUGACUUGAGGAAGGUAGGGGAGAAUGGAAUUCCUGGUGGAGCGGUGGAAUGCGCAGAUAUCAGGAGGAACACCAGUGGCGAAGGCGGUUCUCUGGGCCUUUCCUGACGCUGAGGAGCGAAAGCGUGGGGAGCGAACAGGCUUAGAUACCCUGGUAGUCCACGCUGUAAACGGUGGGUACUAGGUGUGGGGUCCAUUCCACGGGUUCCGUGCCGUAGCUAACGCUUUAAGUACCCCGCCUGGGGAGUACGGCCGCAAGGCUAAAACUCAAAGGAAUUGACGGGGCCCCGCACAAGCGGCGGAGCAUGCGGAUUAAUUCGAUGCAACGCGUAGAACCUUACCUGGGUUUGACAUGGAUCGGGAGUGCUCAGAGAUGGGUGUGCCUCUUUUGGGGUCGGUUCACAGGUGGUGCAUGGCUGUCGUCAGCUCGUGUCGUGAGAUGUUGGGUUAAGUCCCGCAACGAGCGCAACCCUUGUUCACUGUUGCCAGCACGUUAUGGUGGGGACUCAGUGGAGACCGCCGGGGUCAACUCGGAGGAAGGUGGGGAUGACGUCAAGUCAUCAUGCCCCUUAUGUCCAGGGCUUCACGCAUGCUACAAUGGCUGGUACAGAGAGUGGCGAGCCUGUGAGGGUGAGCGAAUCUCGGAAAGCCGGUCUCAGUUCGGAUUGGGGUCUGCAACUCGACCUCAUGAAGUCGGAGUCGCUAGUAAUCGCAGAUCAGCAACGCUGCGGUGAAUACGUUCCCGGGGCU